AUUGAACGCUGGCGGCAGGCCUAACACAUGCAAGUCGAACGAGUGGCGGACGGGUGAGUAAUGUCUGGGAAACUGCCUGAUGGAGGGGGAUAACUACUGGAAACGGUAGCUAAUACCGCAUACCAUCGGAUGUGCCCAGAUGGGAUUAGCUAGUAGGUGGGGUAAAGGCUCACCUAGGCGACGAUCCCUAGCUAGUCUGAGAGGAUGACCGGCACGACGGGAACUGGGACACGGUCCAGACUCCUACGGGAGGCGGAAGUGGGGAAUAUUGGACAAUGGGCGCAAGCCUGAUGCAGCAAGGCCGCGUGUAUGAAAAAGGCCUUCGGGUUGUAAAAUACUUUCAGCAGGGAGGCGGUACCCGCAGAAGAAGCACCGGCUAACUACGUGCCAGCAGCCGCGGUAAUUC
rnacentral:rRNA from 1 species